rnacentral:rRNA from 1 species
GACGAACGCUGGCGGCGUGCUUAACACAUGCAAGUCGAACGGUACUUCCCUUCGGGGUACACGAGUGGCGAACGGGUGAGUAACACGUGGGUGAUCUGCCCUGCACUUCGGGAUAAGCCUGGGAAACUGGGUCUAAUACCGGAUAGGACCCUGGGAUGCAUGUCCUGGGGUGGAAAGCUUUUGCGGUGUGGGGUGGGCCCGCGGCCUAUCAGCUUGUUGGUGGGGUGAUGGCCUACCAAGGCGACGACGGGUAGCCGGCCUGAGAGGGUGACCGGCCAGACUGGGGCGGAGAUACGGCCCAGACUCCUACGGGAGGCAGCAGUGGGGAAUAUUGAACAAUGGGCGCAAGCCUGAUGCAGCGACGCCGCGUGAGGGAUGACGGCCUUCGGGUUGUAAACCUCUUUCAGCACCGACGAAGCGCAAGUGACGGUAGGUGCAGAAGAAGGACCGGCCAACUACGUGCCAGCCGCCGCCGUAA